AGCCUCUGGGCCAUAAAGUCUCCCACCUGCGCCAGGAGCUGUGAGGAAGAGGAGGAAGCUGAUGACUGCAGGAAGAUAUCAGAUGGCUGUUUUUUUGUGGAUUGCAUCAAGGAUGGUUUCUGACCCCUGGCCAUCCACAAGCUAAAAGCAGAAGGAUGAGAUGGGCAGAGUGACUCAGGGGAACCGAGAGGAGCGCUGUACGGAGGUGGCUUGGCAUGAGGUAUUAAAGGGAAGAUCUGAACGGUGGCUCCAUGAAUACAAUUGGGCACUACUUUUUUUCAUGUGAAAGUGAGGUUGCGUAGCCAUGUGCUACUGUGCUGGACUGAGGUACAACAGAAGCAGUUUUCCUUUCAGUAAUUCUACUUUUCAGGUAAGUCUCUUCCAACUAACUGAACAGGCUGAAGAUAAUGACGUCUUUUUCAGGUAGUAUCCGCUUCCAGAUUGCUAAGAGCAUAUAUUUACACUUAAUGCCAAGGGAUGCUAUGUGGAGAGGCUCUUGCUUAUACUUAUUGCUGUAACAGUGCAGCUCUGCUAACUUUUAUGUA